rnacentral:rRNA from 1 species
GACAGAGGGUGCAAACGUUGUUCGGAAUUACUGGGCGUAAAGCGCGUGUAGGCGGCUUGGCGAGUCGGGUGUGAAAGCCCCGGGCUCAACCUGGGAAGUGCACUCGAAACUGCUUGGCUUGAGUACUGGAGAGGGAAGCGGAAUUCUCGGUGUAGAGGUGAAAUUCGUAGAUAUCGAGAGGAACACCGGUGGCGAAGGCGGCUGCCUGGGCAGUCACUGACGCUGAGACGCGAAAGCGUGGGGAGCAAACAGG